rnacentral:rRNA from 1 species
CAAUAGCGUAUAUUAAAGUUGUUGCGGUUAAAAAGCUCGUAGUUGGAUUUCUGCUGAGAACGACCGGUCCGCCCUUUGGGUGUGUAUCUGGCUCUUUCUUGGCAUCUUCUUGGUGAACGUUGCUGCACUUGACUGUGUGGAGCGCUACCCAGGACUUUUACUUUGAGGAAAUUAGAGUGUUUCAAGCAGGCAUACGCCUUGAAUACAUUAGCAUGGAAUAAUAAGAUAGGACCUCGGUUCUAUUUUGUUGGUUUCUAGAGCUGAGGUAAUGAUUAAUAGGGAUAGUUGGGGGCAUUCGUAUUUAACUGUCAGAGGUGAAAUUCUUGGAUUUGUUGAAGACGGACUACUGCGAAAGCAUUUGCCAAGGAUGUUUUCAUUGA